UGGUAAUUUAGAUAUUGACGGGUCUUCUAUAAUAGAAGUAUUGUCGUCAGAUAAGGCACUAUAUCAUCUUCGCUUGAACAGGAAAUAUUUGGGACUUCCCAUUGAAUGAUUUAAUACAUUCAGUCUUCUUUCAUCCGCCUUCUUUUGAUACUGCCAUUUCUCUUUUUAAUCUCAGUUUCCCUUUUUAUGAGUUUUUUUAUCAAUAUAUUUACAAUUUUACCAGGACGCCCUUCUCUUUGU